AUGAGCGUGCUGUGUGCCAGGCCGCAGCUUCUGGACCGCAAGAUUUACAACCCCUUUCUCCACCUUGCCCCUCUGGCUCUCCAAGACCAUUCCCUCUGUGCGGAGUCCACUGCCGUGACCAGGACCGGUGGGAAGCUUCAAUGGGAUUAUAAUUGGCUUUUAAUUCGAGGGACAUCAGAAGGUGUAUAUUUUCCUACAGGAUUAAAUCAAGCAAAGAUUUUCACCAUGCGAAGACGAGAUGACACAAGACCUCACUCCAGCUGUUGCUGUUACACUUUCCCACACGUUGAGUCGCUAGUCCUCCUAACCACACCCAUCUGCCAUCUCUCCUUUCUCCCUCUCUACUUUCCAUGCUACUCAGAAAAUCCAAGAAUUACAGAUGGAACAUCGGCUGGCUGUGUUCUCUAGUUAGUUGCCAUGGUUCCUGCUCGGUUGUUUUGUGUUAGCCUUUAUAUUUUACACAAAGGGAGUUGUUUUUGUAUUUCCAUUCCCCUCUCUAGCUAUCAUGAAAUUCAUUUGAAAAGGUUUGAAUAGGAGGUCUAAUCACUGUUCAAUCAGGAUGAUUGAUUGAAAGAUGUAUCUUGCUGAAUGUACCCAGCUGGUGUUUUUGAUAUUAUAAUUGGUGAGGACUGUAAUGGGGCUAAGGUUUCUGCCUCCACCUGAACUAAGCUGUGCCUGGGUAACUGCCAGUUCAGUGAAGAGGUAGUUUUUGUCCAUGCCAUGUAGAAUCCAGAGAGGCUAUGCCAUGACAUGUGCUCCUGUCGUCAGUUUGGCCCAGAGCAACAUGGCGUCCUGGGUUUCAUGCAGUUAGGCUAGUGGAUUUAAUGGUGUCAGCAGACAUGCACGUCACAUAGCGUAGGGACAUGCCUGCUCUGUUGGAGCUAGCCCAGGUUGUGUGUGUGGUGAUAAGGGGAUCCCCUGUGCUGCUAGUCAGUGGGUGGAGGUAGGGUUAUGUCUGAUAACAUCCCCCUGCACGGGACUGAUACAGAGAUGAGGAGGAGGGAGACCUGGGCCUGAAUUCACAAAGCGCCUUAGAGUAUGUUCCUUUACCGAGCAGAUCAGUCACUCAAUACAGUCUUCGCUCACAGUCGCUGCUGUCCCUGUCUGUUCCUACAGCUAGAACUGAGAUGGGGAAACAAUAUUUUUCCCAUAAUGCCCCCUUCAUCCUGGACCAUGCUUCAAAAGAUAGUUGGUGAAAUUAGGGAGUUAGUCCUUGCCUGUUUUUAAGACUCUGAUUGACAACACUGUUUGUGAUAACUGCAGCUGUUUGUAAUAUUCAAUUGUAUUCGUAACUUGUGACACUUUGUCUUUUGUGUGCAUUUUGUGUGUUUUUGUUUGGUAAUAUUUUAUGUACACGCUGCCAUUUCCCUGUUUUGCCUUCUUGCCAGGUCGCCCU
rnacentral:lncRNA from 1 species